rnacentral:rRNA from 1 species
CACGUAGUUAGCCGUGACUUUCUGGUUGGAUACCGUCACUGCGUGAACAGUUACUCUCACGCACGUUCUUCUCCAACAACAGAGCUUUACGAGCCGAAACCCUUCUUCACUCACGCGGUGUUGCUCCAUCAGGCUUGCGCCCAUUGUGGAAGAUUCCCUACUGCCCGCCUCCCGUAGGAGUAUGGACCGUGUCUCAGUUCCAUUGUGGCCGAUCAGUCUCUCAACUCGGCUAUGCAUCAUCGCCUUGGUAAGCCGUUACCUUACAACUAGCUAAUGCACGCAGGUCCAUCCCAGAGUGAUAGACCAAAGCCAUUCUUACAAACAAAGCCAAUGUAGGUCUUUUGUUGUUAUGGACGGUAUUGCUAUCUGUUACCAAAUUGUUAACCUCCCCCG